GAUGAACGCUGGCGGCGUGCCUAAUACAUGCAAGUCGAGCGAACAGAUAAGGAGCUUGCUCCUUUGACGUUAGCGGCGGACGGGUGAGUAACACGUGGGUAACCUACCUAUAAGACUGGAAUAACUCCGGGAAACCGGGGCUAAUGCAGGAUAACAUGUUGAACCGCAUGGUUCUACAGUGAAAGGCGGCUUUGCUGUCACUUAUAGAUGGACCCGCGCCGUAUUAGCUAGUUGGUGAGGUAACGGCUCACCAAGGCAACGAUACGUAGCCGACCUGAGAGGGUGAUCGGCCACACUGGAACUGAGACACGGUCCAGACUCCUACGGGAGGCAGCAGUAGGGAAUCUUCCGCAAUGGGCGAAAGCCUGACGGAGCAACGCCGCGUGAGUGAUGAAGGUCUUCGGAUCGUAAAACUCUGUUAUUAGGGAAGAACAAAUGCGUAAGUAACUGUGCGCGUCUUGACGGUACUUAAUCAGAAAGCCACGGCUAACUACGUG
rnacentral:rRNA from 1 species